rnacentral:lncRNA from 1 species
GUCCCCGGCGUCCGGGCGCCCUGCAUGGAUCCCCCACCCCAGCUCCUGCUCCCCGGCGGCGGCCGGUGGGCAGAAAGACCGAAACCCACUCACGGCCGCCUGCCGAAUCGCGGCUCUGCUGUUUGUGGGGCGUGCUAGAAACGUGGUCCUAAAAAGAAUGGCGUCCAUUUACAUAAUGCUUUGUUUGCGUUUCGCAAGUUUCUUUCGGUUAAAGCCACAGAAACCCCACCUCCUGCCCUUGUGUCGUUUCCACCGCGGCACCCUUUUCCGACAUUAGAAACAAUAGUGUACGCCUGUGGAGGCCUCGUUUGUUCAGGGGCUGCCGGCCAGGGCUUCAGGACGUUUCUGCGGCUUUCCCCGCGCGGCCUGGGCUCCCGCGGCUGCUUUUCGGGCCCAUGGGCGCAGCCACUGCGCCAGGCUCAAGGGGGGCGGCCCCGUCAGGGCCCGCCAUCUUGGAAGGCCUUUUUUGCCGGUUCUUCCCGCUGAGGAAGUGUCGCUCAAGACGCUGGCCUAUGAGUUGUGAUUUCUGCCUUUUCCCCUUCCUCCUUGGGCUAAGCCAGACCAGAAAGGGCCCCGUGCGCAACGUGCUUCACAAUCUCUCAGGGAAAGCGGCUAACGUGGCGCUACUCCGCCUCCCCUGUUCCUUACCCUUGGGGCGGCCGCCAUGUUUCCUGAACACAAAAUGGCGACACGUGGUUAGCAUUCGUCGCCAACGAGAAAUUGGGGUCGGCCCGAAAGCUCUAGAAUGCACCCCUCUUCCUCCCCGGGGCCUUCCACCUCCGCGAGUUUUAUGACUUAAAAAAGCCCACAGGCUGGUCUGAAGGUCGGAGGCCUAAUUUUAACGCGUUUUCCUCCCUUUAAUUUGAAACGGGAACGCGAAUGACUGUAAAAUGUGGGCACAAUAUUUAAUCUCUCGCCUUUUUAAAGCUUAAUAGUGGAUAAUAGGGGGGCAGUAUCAAGGGAUAAUUUGGGUCCCCACAGUACCAAAGCAUUUAGAAACCUCUGUUUAAUUUAAGGAAUGAGAUAAGUUACUGCUUUUCUAGACUUCCUAGCAUGGGCUGUUGUGCUGGAGAGAACGAGAGCUACGAAGAGACUACAGUGCCUCUGACUUUUUCAUAGGACAGUUGGCCGGUGAAUCUUAUUAAUAGUUUACCACAAUUAAGUGUUCAUUUUUAGUCUAGAAGGGACAGGCGUUUAUUGUGCAUUGGCCAGUGCCAGCACAUCCGAUGCAAGGCAGUUCACCGUAUUCUAUCUUUAAUUUUUACCAUGGUCCUCUGAGGUAGGUGUUCUUAUCUCUCUCUCUCUCUCUCUCUUUUAAACAGAGGAAGACAAACAUAAAGAUGAAGUGCUUAAUUCAAGGUCACACAAUGUCGGGGAUGGACCUCCAGAUUUCCUUACUGGAAAACAAGCUCAGGGCUCCCACUGAUUGUACAUUAUGGUGAGACGUGGUCUUGUAACACAGUGGUUAAGAAUGUGACUUUGGAGCCAGCCUGCUAGGGGCUGAAUUCUGACUCAGCCAUUUACUAACUGUGUGACCUUAGGGAGGAGGACCUGGUUGAUAGAAGAAUUUAUCUCGUAGUCUUAACAUCCACUGUAAUUCCAAACUUUGAGGACGAUAGAGAUCAGUGGGCUUUGACUGCCCAGCAUGCAGUCUCCAUUCUUAGGUGGGUUCCCAAGCCUGUAAAAUGUAAGCCUUAUGCUGCUGAGGGCCAUCUUGCCACCCUGAGGGAAACGCUGCCUGAGAAUGAAACAAGCAUAAGUAAAAGCUGAGCUGUGAGAUGGAGCAAGAUGAAGGCCACAUGACAUCUUUGGAGCACCUGGAUCUAACUGUGCCUUAAGCUAGUCUAACCCUGAACAUUUCAUCAUUUCAUUGACAUGAGCCCAGGUUUUCUUUUUUUUUGGAUGGAGUCUUGCUCUGUCGCCCAGGCUGGAGUGCAGUAGCUCAAUCUCGGCUCACUGCAAGCUCCACCUCCCGGGUUCACGCCAUUCUCCUGCCUUAGCCUCCCAAGUAGCUGGGACAACAGGCGCCCACCACCACUCCCAGCUAAUUUUUUGUAUUUUUAGUAGAGACGGGGUUUUACCAUGUUAGCCGGGAUGGUCUUGAUCUCCUGACCUCAUGAUCCGCCCGCCUCGGCCUCCCAAAGUGCUGGGAUUACAGGUGUGAGCCACUGCACCCAGCCCUCAGGUUUUCCCUUUUUUUACCCCUCCUUUUGAAAAUUUGAUGUGGAAUUUUGCCACCUGCAGCCAGAAGAGUUUUAACUAAUCAGUGCCAUAAAUUUUAUAUAGUUCUCCUUGCAAAAUGUGGAUCAGCCUUUCUCAGCAAAUCCUUUGUCAUAAAGUGCUGAAUUGUAAGUUUGUCAUGAGAAUCACAUGAGAUCAUGCAUGUGAAGAACCUGGCAUUAUCCUCCUCAUAGAAAAAAACCAGUAAAUAUUAACUACAGGAAGCAAGGAAGGAGUGGGGUGAGGGGAAGAAGAAGGGGUACUGAUUUAAAAGAACCCUGGAGUCCUAAGGAUAAUCUAGGAACCCUCAGACCCAAUCCGAUACCCCUAUUCUAAAUGCUCCUAGUGCCCUGUACCUUCCCCUCAUAAGCCUUCAUUAUCAUUGUAAUGAUAUGUUUAUGUAAUAUUUUGAUUAAUGUCUCUCCUUCACUGACCUAGCAGUUCUAGCAGGGCAGUGAUUUUGCUGUGUUGCAUCCCCAGCACCUAGUCUGGUAUGUGGCAUUCAGCAUAUGUUUAUUGAAUGAAUGGCCAUGUGGUUAUUCAGAUCCUCCUUGAUUAUUGGGGUUAGGAUUGUGGCAGAAGUGGCAAAAUCAGGGAGAGUAGUCCCUGUCCCCUCUGUAUCUUAUACACUGCCCACACUCCCAACACACAUACACAUACAGAGAAUUUUGUCUCAAUUAGAUAAUUAACUUCUGCUUGGUUGUAAACCAAACCACUGGUUCUUAAACUUUCAUUGGAUCAUUUUAUUGAAGAAUUAAAUAGUGUGGUUCUGGCCUAAUGUCUGGAAAGCCUUGCAGAGGAGUGGAUUAGGUCUUUGUGAUAAACAGGCAGCCUUCCCUGCUCCUGUGUCUUUAUAAAAUCUAUUUAACUGGAGUAGUCCACCCUCCCUCAGGCUCUUACAGGAAUAUGUUGGAGGCUGUAGGAAGGUGGGAAACCGAGAGGGAAAGGACUGGGCCGCUGGAGACUUCACUCAUUCCCUAGCAAGAAACAAAAGCAGUAAAAGGUGGCCCGAGGACAACCUGAAGCUCACUCCUUCAGCACUUUUGGCUGGAGGUCACUUGUUGGAGCCCCACUCAGAGCUCAGCACACCACCCCACCAGCAGCCUCCUCCUCCCAGCUGAGGCUGCAUUUCAUCCCUUCCCCCAGCCUGCUUUCCCUGAGAUAGGGGAGUGUUUCCCAGGGCCCAUGUGACUUCCACUGGCAAGUGACGAUUACCAAUGGUUUACUAGUCAGUGAAACUACCAAAGGCUUUUGUGCUGUAGUAAUCCUUUUCCUGUUUAAAACUCUGGGGAUUUUCUAAUGUUGCCAAUAGUUUUUCAAGUCAGCAAUUACUGUGUGGAUUAUGUAAUGGCUCGGUAUUAAAAAUAGAAAAGACUGGA